CACGCACACAUACACACGAGAGCAAAAUGGAGGCAAGACGAUGCAAUGGCGAAAAUGACCGGAAAGUUCCGAAGCUACCGAGCGCACUGAGGUGUCACAGCGAAGGCAUCAUCAGGAGGAGGGUUGUGACAGGCUCAGUCAGAGGUGAUGUCAUCACAGCGCGACCUGCGAGGACGAGGGCACCGCAAUCCCAUCGGGCUGUCUGUGUCGGCGCAGGGUCGAGGGAUUGGAUGUGUUGCUGGAGGUGUGAGGUGUAUGUCAGUGGGUGUCGCCUCCAAUAUCUCCCUCGCUUUUAAUCAGCCACAUUAGUUUUGAGUGCGAGUUGGUAUGUACACUGCUGCUACCGCAGGACAGGGAUCACACACAAAAACACACACUCACACUCUCACACACACACACACACACACACACGCACACAAAGUAGGCUACACUGGAGCUUCCUGAGUAAGCCGUCAUUGCUGAUGCACAGUCAGUAUUCAGGUUGAUAAUUUAGCCCUGCUCAUUUGAAACUGAAACAUUUAAACAGAGAACAGUAAUGUCAUCAAAUGUCAUUUGUGUCAUGGCAACCAGCAGGAAGAUAAAAUGUCAUCUUGUCUGAGAAUGAAUAUUUCUGCAGGGUCGGAGAACCCAUUUAUUAAAAUCACGGCGCCGGCGCCCCACUUUGCUAAAGAGACAGUAUUCCCUGUCAUGUUUCACAGUGACCCUCCAGCUUGACAUUUUGAUUUCUCUCAUUUUGUCCUUUCCAGUUUUCUCUCAGAGCGACAGCACGCGUGCCUGUAUGUGCGUGCACGCGUAUGUGUGUUUAAGUGUGCCAUAGACUAAAAGCCGCCCAUCCUAAAAGGCAAGACUAAGUGAAUGUCAGAAAUGUCAGGACGCCAACAUGCCCACUGGUGACAUGGGGGAUUGGCAGAUGUGCCAGGCAUCCUUGGAAGAACAUGUCCCCACUGCUAUUGAAGACUUCACUCUCAUGAUGUUUGACCUCUUUUCUCACUGCUUCCCAGUGGAAAUUUUCGAAGCUGAGACUUCUCAGAGGUGGCACAAGGGAGUAUGAGGAAAAUAUAGAUGCCAAAAUGCUCUUUUCAAAGCACAUUUCUUCAUGUCUACAUGCAUUUUCACAAUCCAUCAUUUGCUGACAACAGCUGUAGGAAGAAUGUCAAUUUGAUAUUAUGCAAAUGUAUUCAGUAGAACACAUCACAAACAUUCAUGGGUUGUGGUGUGUUGUGGAAUGUGAAUUUUAUGUGCUCUGACACUGCUGAAUAACUAAUGAUGUGGGACUGACCUGUUUGCUUGAAUGCCUGUCACAAAAAAAACCCUGCACUCUAAGCUGCAGAGUGAGAGGAUAGAAUGGUUGCAGACUUCCCCACUUUAUUUGAUCAAACCCGUAAGUUACUGUCAAAGCAAACUCAUUCAUUUUGACAAGGAAAGAGGCUUUCAGACCAGUUCUGACUGAUAUGGGCUUUGUGGCGGGCUGACACAAACACCUAUUUUUUAGGGGCGGAAGCUGCUGAUGCUGGAUAAUUUGUGCUGAUAUUGACUGUCUCCAAAUUAGAUCAUUUUCACUGCUGAAAAAAAAAAAUAGCAGAAUUUUUCAAAGACCUAACAAUCUUCCUGUUGGACCAUAGUUAAGUUCAAAUAGUAAGGAAUAUGAUGCACCCCAACUGAAUACAGUACACUCAUACAACAGCUUUAUAAAAAGAUAAGGUAUCUGGCUUCACUACACCUAACACUGAUGAUCCUGGGCAAUAAUCUCACAACCUACAUAUGCCCAGGGAGAGCAGAUAAAAGAUAACUAGUGGCUGAAUCUGGUUUUAAAUGAAUAAUAAUUUAAACUUACUCUGUUAAGUCUCCAUUUAUUAAAUUUAAACCUGCAUUAAUUGUUUUUUAGCUAUGUAUUGAGUGCAGUGCAACAAGUGAUAAACACAGCAAUUAAGUUGAUGUGUAAUGUGUAAUUUAUUCAUCCAGCAUACACAGACCAAUGCCAGGAUCCAUUUUGAGUCAUGUUUGUGUUCACCUGAUGCAUGAAAUAGUCACCCUUUUUGCUCUGUUUUUGGUCUCCACCACAUCUGCCUCUGUAGCUACUAAAUGCUCCACCAGCUACUUUCGAACUUUGUCUGUCUGAUGUUUGUGGUGUUGAGAAGGCAGUGUAUAGUGCAUUUAUUAGAGCUUUUUCACUGAAAAUAGCUGCUUGCUGCUGCUGGAAACUAUGAUGAGAAUGACUAAAUAGCUCGGUUGUUUACCAUAAAACCAAAACAAUUUGCUAAAAGAUGCUGAAUUGAUUAUAUAGAGCUGAGUGGCAGAGUGACUGCAGAGUUGGUGAUACUUAUCUGUCCCCAUAAACAACUCAUUUCACAUUAUAUAAAGUCGUUAUCUAUUGUUGAAAUAGAAAAAAAAAUAUAUUGAUCCAAAACAGCUGUAAACUGAGAAUCUUGGGGAAGUAUCCUUCAGAUUCUUAUUCAUGUCAUGGUUUCGCAAACAGCUUUACACCAUGAACCACUGAAACUAAAACAAGUUGAUCAACAUGAUUGUUACUAUCAUCAUUAUACAGAAUUUAAUCAAUGACAUCUUCCAAUCACUUCAGGUUAAUAAAUCUAUUAAUCUCAUUCAGGUACCAUGUGAUCAUAUCACACAGUCAUUACAGUUAUAAGAGCACAUAUUGUAUGACAACAUCAUAUAGACACUUAACACACUUAUAUACAUCUUACACCUCCAGCCUCCCAUCCCGACCCCAAUAUUAAAACAACCUCACAUACCACAUGUGAUUAUAAACACAUAUUGAUUUUCCAAUGUGACUGUAUAGAAGUUCCCAUGUCUCUCCAUGGGGACAGAGACUCAGAGAGAGCUGUCUCUUUUGCCUCCACACUGUACUGAAUCAAUGUGUCGCUAUCCAGGCAAUAGCUUCAAUAUUCUCCCCUGCUCUGUUUCCAAUUUGGUGCUCGAUUGGAGACAUCAUUCUUCAGUUGUCUUCACAGAGAGUGGCUGUCAGUGGGGACGUUAGUCUAUCCACUGGCCAGUGGGCUGUGGAGGCGGCACUGCAUUUGUAUUGUGAGUGCAUGCAGGGCCUCUGGGUACUGGAUAAGAGUGCUGCAUGCUUUUAUGUAGCUGUCCCUACAGUUUCUUCCGUCUUCACUGCAGUCACACAAUUGAUUUCUACCUUUACAAUAUAAGGGCAGAAAUCAAUUAAAAUGUACACCUGUGCAAAAUGACAUCAAAAUACACAGUUUUUUUCCCCCUGUUCCUUUUAGAGUCAAACCCACAGGGAAUUAUCAUCCGAUCUGUAGUUCCCCUCACCUCUAUGGACUAUAUAAGUGCCUUGUAGUUCAGUAUUUUGGUUGUUCAACUGUUUUACUGUUUUGUUUCACUCUCGCAGUUCUCAUCAGCAUUGUUUCCAGCAGCAACAGGCAGUUGUUUUCAGUGAAAAGGCUCUGAGCCGAUACACUACAUCUGCUCAGCACCAAACAGCAGGUAGAUACAGCUAGAGACUAGCUGGGGAACCAAGUGGAACGUUUAGCAGAGAUAAAAGGAGAAUGAAUAUUGGACCUACAUUCAUCAGGUGAACACACACCUGACUCCAAAUGAGUGCCAAUAUUUGUGUAACUAAAAGAUUUCAACCCAAUGGUCACUUGCUAGGUUUUCAUUUGCAUCUAGCUGUCCUCAUAAGGGAAUUGAAUUGCUCAGGUAUAAUCAUUUGAUUUAAAAUGUGGAACAUUGUUUCUUCAUUAAUGAAAACCACGAGAAGUGGUUGCAAGUUUUGUUAAAAAAAAAAAGAAAAAAAGAAAAAACAGGUGAGAAUACUGUAUGCCCUCUAGUGGUUGAAAAGAAACAAAGUAAAGUUUCAAUAAUGGCUGUGUAAAUUAUACGACUGUGCCUAAUUCCCAUUGUUUGUAGAAAAAAAUGUUCAGAAAAAGAGCCAGUAUUUGGAUUUUGUCACAGAAAUUGUGUUUUGCCACUGCAGCUGGCUGUGGUACUGUCAGGUUGGAGACCAGCCAUCAAACAAAUGUUGGUAAGGCUGUACUUAAAGUGGUGCUCAUAAAGCAUUACAUGGAAUAAUAACCACAUAAUGAUAAUUAGUACAAUAAGAUAUAAUAAACACAAUGUGCAAAACUGUAAGAAUCUGAACAUUUUAUGGAGAAACUAUUUAGUUAAUGACACUAUAAUAAACUGAAUGUGAUUCUCUGAUGUUGCUGAUGAUGUUCUCCCCGAUGUGUGAUGAAAGUUGAUCUUUGCUUCUAAUGUUUUUAUAAUCUGCUGGUACGACAUCACAGUGCACUUAAAAUAAAAUGUUGCCCACAGUU